rnacentral:rRNA from 1 species
GGGCUCCUACAUGCUUAAAACCGGGGGGGGAUGGUCAACCGCUUUGGGGAGGAGCGACCCGGUUCUUUCUUUUAAAGAGGGCUAUUGACGGUACCGUAAGAAUAAGCACCGGCUAACUACGUGCCAGCAGCCGCGGUAAUACGUAGGGUGCGAGCGUUAAUCGGAAUUACUGGGCGUAAAGCGUGCGCAGGCGGUUCUAUAAGACAGAUGUGAAAUCCCCGGGCUCAACCUGGGAAUGGCAUUUGUGACUGUAGAGCUAGAGUACGGUAGAGGGGGAUGGAAUUCCGCGUGUAGCAGUGAAAUGCGUAGAUAUGCGGAGGAACACCGAUGGCGAAGGCAAUCCCCUGGACCUGUACUGACGCUCAUGCACGAAAGCGUGGGGAGCAAACAGGAUUAGAUACCCUGGUAGUCCACGCCCUAAACGAUGUCAACUGGUUGUUGGGUGCAUUAGUACUCAGUAACGAAGCUAACGCGUGAAGUUGACCGCCUGGGGAGUACGGCCGCAAGGUUGAAACUCAAA